rnacentral:rRNA from 1 species
AACGAACGCUGGCGGCAGGCUUAACACAUGCAAGUCGAGCGCCCUGCAAGGGGAGCGGCAGACGGGUGAGUAACGCGUGGGAAUCUACCGAGCCCUGCGGAAUAGCUCCGGGAAACUGGAAUUAAUACCGCAUACGCCCUACGGGGGAAAGAUUUAUCGGGGUUUGAUGAGCCCGCGUUGGAUUAGCUAGUUGGUGGGGUAAAGGCCUACCAAGGCGACGAUCCAUAGCUGGUCUGAGAGGAUGAUCAGCCACAUUGGGACUGAGACACGGCCCAAACUCCUACGGGGGGCAGGGGUGGGGAAUAUUGGACAAUGGGCGCAAGCCUGAUCCAGCCAUGCCGCGUGAGUGGUGAAGGCACUAGGGUUGUAAAGCUCUUUCAACGGUGAAGAUAAUGACGGUAACCGUAGAAGAAGCCCCGGCUAACUUCGUGCCAGCCGCCGCCGUAA